UGAAAUGAGGGACCAGCCCCUGCAGCCCCCGAGCCCAGCCAGGCCCCUCCCCUGCUAGAGCCGGCCUGGUACCAGGCCCCAGACAGAGCCCCCGCUGUGCGCGCUGCUCCGGCCGUUCCAGCCGCUGUCUGAGCACGGAGCCCUCGGAGCUGCCUGGCUCCUGGCCGGGUGGGACCCCGUGACUGUGGUGCUGCCUGUCCCCUCUCCUGUUCCCAGAGCCUGUUCCUGGGCGUGCGGCUGCUGCUGCUGCUCACCAUGGCCACCGGCCUCUGCAUCGCCUUCUACUCCUUCCUCUACGGCUGCUGGGCCCUGUGCUGCAGGAAGUUGGCCGGGGCCGAGGCGGUGGAGAGCAAGGAGCCGCUACUGGCCUCUGACUCCAUCCUCCCGCCGGAUGAGGAGAAAGCCCAGGAGGGCCGGAAUAUCUGAGCUCCCGGCCAGGCUCCAGCUUCGCUCUGCCGGGUAACCGCUCUGCACAGCCCGCAUCCCUCCCGCCUCCCUGUCCUGGCUCUCGAGCUGGGGCUUCCCGCUGUUCCCCCUCCUGUACUAGCUGUGUACUACUACACUAACUGUAGCCAUGUACUAGGGCGAGGGCCUUCCCAGGCCCUGCUCCGAACAGGGCAGCAGCUGCUUGGCAAUAAACCGUCUCCUGUGAGUGUCUGUC